UUUUCUUCUUUGCCGAGCCGUGCCCGCGCGCCCUCUUUUCUCCCCGACGCCGCCGAUCUCGUCCGAGCCCUAACCGCCGGGCCGGCGGUUUUCCUCCUCUCCUCCUACUUCAUCCUCCCUUCCACUUCUUCUUCUUCUCCCUCCGGCGACGCCGCACGAGCACAAUCGAACCGGACUAUCUCCUUGCCCUAAUCUGCCGCCGGCUGAGUUCCUGCUACCUUUUUCCUCUAGCCGACGACAGCCACUUGAGUAGCGCCGGCCACCCCCGAUCGCCGGCACUCGAGUACCACUGUUUGGGUUCUUAUGUGCCCUAGCUUCUGCCGCCGACGACUAGAGCCACCGCCGAUCGCUCUGUGCCCUUCUACUUCUCUGCUGCCACUCUAACCGGAGCCGAGACCUUCUCACAGCAGUGCUGCCGGCCGGAAAUCCUCUGUGCCCUAGCUGUGAGCAUUUCUUCCUCCUCAGAGCAGUGGUGAUACGGUAUUGUGACAGAAAGAUCCUUGGUACAACAGAUCGGCGAUAUUAGAGUUGCCCUAUUCCGGCAGCCACUUUUUGUAGCAAUCGACAGCACCUUUCCUGCCUGUUGAAUUAAGGACUUUGAUUCGAGACGAGCAUCUCGACGUCCGAGUUGGACCAUUUCGAUUGGAGGCGGG